GUCCGGAGCGGGGAUGUUUGCUGUGGGCUCCAACGUCACAUGCUUGCUUUGGAAUCCCAGCCGCUUGAAGACUAGCAGAGACCUUCACACCCCCGCAGGGUGCUGGAGCAGUAUACUCGAGGAGCGCUGGAACCCGUCGGCAAGGGGAGGGGAGCUCCUUGGAGGAGGUGCCUUCUCAGGGGAGAUCUCAGAAAAUCAGUGAGUUGAGGAGGGUUCCUGUGUCACAGAGCUGAAGAAUGAUCUUGCGGACAAGAGGGUGAAGUCAAGUGAAAGUUUAUCAUGCGAAGGUGAGAACAGAGAGGAGGGCUCUCGAGCGUAAAAGGGGCCGAACGCACUGCCACUGAGGAUGUUUAUGUAUUAUGCAACCAUGGUGGAUAACCUUAUCAUCUCAAAGAGAAACUGCAUGGCCGUGAGCAGUCACUCCCCACCCUAUCUCCAGCCUGGGUAACACUCAGUGUGUCUGGGGAUGUCCUUUCUCUGGACAUUUCCAAUGAAUGGAAUCAGACAAUAUGUAGUCUUUUGUGUUUGACUCCCUUCAUUAGCCUGAUGGGUUUUUUAUUAAGAUUUUAUUUUUAAUGUCUUCCAUGUUAUUCCUAUGCUCCACCAGAAAGUGAAACCAUGUGAUAACUGACUUUCUCUGCUUGACUUAUUUCACACAGCAUAGUCUCCUCCAGACCCGUCCCUGUUAAUACAAUAGUUGGGUAUGCUUUCACUUACUUGGGGAGCAUAAGGAAUAACACGGAGGACAUGGGGAGAUGGAGAAGAGAAGGGAGUUGUGGGAAAUCAGAGGGGGAGAUGAACCAUGAGAGACUGUGGACUCUGAGACACAAACCGAGGAUUUUGGAGGGGAUGCGGUGGGAGGUUGGGUGAGCCUGGCUAUUUAGAAGGGCACGGAUUGCAUGGAGCACUGGGUGUGGUGCAUAAACAAUGAAUCUUGGAACACUGGAAAAAUAGAAUAAAAUUUUUAAAAAUG